AUUGAACGCUGGCGGCAUGCCUUACACAUGCAAGUCGAACGGCAGCACGGGGCAACCUGGUGGCGAGUGGCGAACGGGUGAGUAAUGCAUCGGAACGUACCUUUCAGUGGGGGAUAACGUAGCGAAAGUUACGCUAAUACCGCAUAUUCUGUGAGCAGGAAAGCAGGGGAUCGCAAGACCUUGCGCUGAUUGAGCGGCCGAUGUCAGAUUAGCUAGUUGGUUGGGUAAAGGCUCACCAAGGCGACGGUCUGUAGCGGGUCUGAGAGGAUGAUCCACCACACUGGAACUGAGACACGGUCCAGACUCCUACGGGAGGCAGCAGUGGGGAAUUUUGGACAAUGGGGGCAACCCUGAUCAAGCCAGGCCGCGUGAGUGAAGAAGGCCUUCGGGUUGUAAAGCUCUUUCGGCCGGGAAGAAAUCGGACGGGCUAAUACCCUGUGUGGAUGACGGUACCGGAAUAAGAAGCACCGGCUAACUACGUGCCAGCAGCCGCAGUAA
rnacentral:rRNA from 1 species